UUUAUCUCAAGGCAUAUUUUUCUUUUACUUAAUAUGUUAAACAUUAUCUACACUUUUUUAACUAAGGAAUGAAUAUUACACCAUGUAAUAUUAUCACUUUGUUAGUUUGAAAAGAUGUCAGCUAUAUUUGACAUAAUGAAUUCGAAAGCUGUCAUUUAAUUUCUUUGUCGUUCGUCCUUUUUGCUAUAAACUUCAUCCAAUGUCUUGCACCAACACAGCCACACAGCUUUUCAAUUCCAAUCCAUCCCAUCAAUCCGUCCACCCUUCUGCAAUCGGGUGCUAUCGCGUCAAGAUUAGAACGGAAAAUAUGCACAUAAUUAAAUGUGCCCGUGUUGGCUUCCCAGCAGAAACCCUACGACGCAGAAGACGCAAGUAAAAUGGAAGCAAAGCAUCGAGAGAAGGUAAGAAUCUUAUCACUCCUUGCGGCCUCUAAGACAUAAACGAAACAUGGACGAAAUCUUCGAACUAGAGCCCAUUCUGGAAAUUAAGACAUCUCAUACACCAUACAUAAGGAAAAUCCACGUUUAACGCGCUUAUUGUGGGUGUAACUGUUGAAAGCUAGCGAUGAGACCAAACAGAGAUAUGCACAAACGGGUUGUCUCACAAUGGAACGAUAAAACUACGCAACCCGACCCAACCUAGGCAACACCCACAUCACCGUGCGCCGAGCUACAACACGAGCUUCCGGUAGUUUCCACAUUUUUACGAUUGGCGCUAGCAUCGGCGACAGCACAAACUGUUAACACUGUCAUCAAUGUCAAGGGAAUUUUCUACAAGGGACGCGUUGGUUGGUUUUUGGCGAAAUAUUUCUACUGGGUUUUUCGAGAAAUACAACGUUUGCAGCAUGCAUUUCCAAAAUCAUGCCAGUGACAACACCGGCGGCGUAGGCGAGAGCAAGUGAAAAGAUCGAUCUGAACCAGGAUAAAACGAUGCAGCAUCUGACCCACAGUCAUGGCAAAAAUAAUCAACCCAAUUUGGCACGUCGUGCCGCGAAACAAGCGAAGGAAGCACCGUGAGCUAUACAACCGGAAAAACCACGCUUCGAGCCGAAAAAGUUCGUCAAGAUCGAUCGCCCCGGGUAUCAGGUGACGAAGCAUCACGAUCCGGAGAAUGGCCAACAGUCCUUGUCUUCCAAAUCGACUAUCCGGAAAUUAUGGACGGUAUUGUACCGCGGCAUCGGCUUAUGUUCGUUUACGAACCACCAUCACAAAGAUCGACCACCAGUCAAACACAGUAAUUUCAUAUUUUAAUUGAUUUAUAAGAAGAAAAAGUAGCCAUUGAUGUCAUCUAUCGACCACAGUUUAAAGAUUGGCGAUCCGUUGGAUACCGACCGAGUUAUAGGCAAAACUUGGUGCACAAAUGAGCCCUAGUAAAUUUUUAUUUUUUUGAAUAUUUUGAUUUUUUGAUUAUUUUUUAUUCUUUUUUUAAUUUCAAACAUUAUUUGAAUGAAAAGAAACUAAUUGUAACCAUUUCGCAUUAAAAUAAAACAAAUUUUUAAAUUUUGCUAAUUUGCUCAAAAAAAUGGCAAGGG